UCCUGGUUAGCUCAGUUGGUAGAGCACUUCAUUGGGAUGGAGAGGUCCCUGGUUCGAUACUAAGACCAGGCG
rfam:Ixodes scapularis strain Wikel colony gcontig_1108379272380, whole genome shotgun sequence.